UACGUAGGGUGCGAGCGUUGUCCGGAAUUAUUGGGCGUAAAGAGCUCGUAGGCGGUCUGUCGCGUCUGCUGUGAAAACUCAGGGCUUAACCCUGAGCUUGCAGUGGGUACGGGCAGACUAGAGUGCGGUAGGGGAGACUGGAAUUCCUGGUGUAGCGGUGGAAAUGCGCAGAUAUCAGGAGGAACACCGGUGGCGAAGGCGGGUCUCUGGGCCGUAACUGACGCUGGAGGAGCGAAAGCAU
rnacentral:rRNA from 1 species